rnacentral:rRNA from 1 species
UAAUACGUAGGAUGCAAGCGUUGUCCGGAUUUACUGGGCGUAAAGCGCGCGCAGGCGGCACAUUAAGUAAGGUGUGAAAUCCAUCGGCUCAACCGGUGGGGUGCAUUUUAGACUGAUGAGCUUGAGGUCGGUAGAGGGGGGUGGAAUUGCUGGUGUAGCGGUGAAAUGCGUAGAGAUCAGCAGGAACACCCGUGGCGAAGGCGGCCCCCUGGGCCGUACCUGACGCUGAGGCGCGAAGGCUAGGGGAGCGAACGGGAUUAGAUACCCCGGUAGUCCUAGCAGUAAACGAUGGCCACUAGGUGUGGGGGGUGUUGACCCCUUCCGUGCCGUAGCUAACGCAUUAAGUGGCCCGCCUGGGGAGUACGGUCGCAAGACUA